GUCGUCACCUUAAUCGCGCCAUAACUAUCCUCCAGCUGAGAUCAACAAGGUACGAAGAGACUACAGGGCAUCCAUCCUCGAAGGUAAUAUAGUCCCUCCACCCUUUUCAUCAUCUCCAUUAUUUCACCUUUAACCUACAGCUGCUGAUCUUAUUUUGAAAGCAAUGUCUUAGGUUCACUCGCUGAAUUUUGAUCACCCCACCCUAAAACAAAACCCUAAAACAAAACCCUAAAGAUUUAGACUUUACUUCAACGAAUUUUGGUUCGAGUAAGGGUUAUGGUGCAUGUGUAAACUAUGAUUCACUACUCUCUGAAUUACACCCAGUUGAUGAACUUUUAGUAAGAAUGUGAAAAUCGAUGGAUUUGCCUCCAGUUGGGCUUUUGUUCUGUGUAAUUGGCCAUACAGUACCGAUUUCAGUGCAUUCCUUUGGUCAAGUUGAUAUGGUUCUUGUCAUGGUUUGAUGAACACGGAUUUUUAACAAAUCUAGCAAAUCGGUUUCUGUUCUUUCUUUUUUGUUUGUCCCCUUUGUUAUACAUGCUGGAAUCUAAAAGGUUUAUGAUGACAUACUGUGUCCACUUGAAUGAUUUUUCUGUAAUUGGUUUAGAACUUGAUUAUGCGUGAAUUCUUCCUUUGAAGAUCCUGUUAUGUGGCG
rnacentral:lncRNA from 1 species